rnacentral:rRNA from 1 species
GAUGAACGCUGGCGGCGUGCCUAAUACAUGCAAGUAGAGCGCACAGACGAGGAGCUUGCUCUUCUGACGUUAGUGGCGGACGGGUGAGUAACACGUGGGUAACCUGCCUUUAAGCCUGGGAUAACUUCGGGAAACCGGAGCUAAUACCGGAUAAUAUAUUGAACCGCAUGGUUCUAUAGUGAAAGACGGUUUUGCUGUACCUUAUAGUUGGAUCCGCGUCGCAUUAGCUAUUUGGUAAGGUAACGCCUUACCAAGGCAACGAUGCGUAGCCAACUUGGGAGGGUGAUCGGCCACACUGGAACUGAGACACGGCCCAGACUCCUACGGGAGGAGGCAGUGGGGAAUCUCCGGCAUUGGGCGAAAGCCGGACGGAGCAAGGCGCGGGGGGGGAGGAAGUUUUCCGGAUCUAAAGCCUUUGUUAAUGGGGAAGAACAGUGGUAGAGUGAACUAUGCACGUUGUGACGGUACCUAACCAGAAAGCCACGGCUAACUACGUG